rnacentral:rRNA from 1 species
GACGUAGGGCGCGAGCGUUGUCCGGAUUUAUUGGGCGUAAAGAGCUCGUAGGCGGCUCGUUGCGUCAGCUGUGAAAACCCGCAGCUCAACUGUGGGCUUGCAGCUGAUACGGGCGGGCUAGAAUUCGGUAGGGGAGACUGGAAUUCCAGGUGUAGCGGUGAAAUGCGUAGAUAUCUGGAGGAACACCGGUGGCGAAGGCGGCAUCCUGGACCGGCAUUGACGCUGAGGAGCGAAAGCCAGGGGAGCAAACGGG